UUCUCUGUGCACGUGAUUGUUAUAAUUGUAAUAAUAUUAUAUUAUGUUUCGUUAUUAUUGUAGUCGUUCAGAAGAAAGCAAACGCCGACAUUUACCCGCACGCGUCACUCGAUUGUUCUCGAAUUUACCAUUUUUUUUUUCAUUUUUUAUGAUUUAAUUUCCGCCGUCCAGCGUAUUCAAAGUUCGUUAAUCUUGCGCAAUGUUUUUAGUAUUACCUUAAGCCUACCGAUAGUUUCAAUUCGUAACUCAUAUAUGCUAAUGAAUAUAGAAGAAUGUGUGCAUUAUUAUUACAUGGUUGUUUACGGAGUAUCUCAUCUGAAACAUAUUACGACACUCUAUCGUUAGGACGAUGUAUAGAAGUGUAUAUGGAGCAAAAUUACUGCAUGCGGCUUUUCAUUUGAAUUCAAUGUGGAACGCAUGUCAGCAUAUUGAUAUUCCACAGAUUUGUUUUGCAGAAGUCAAUUCGAGUCCGGAUAGUGUACGUGUGUUUUUAAAGCGGCACGAGUGUGCUGAAUUACUUGUGUUUUACAGUGAAAUGCAACUGAAUCCGCAUUUCUACCAGUACAUUAUUCACUCAGCAAUAAAAAAUAUUGAAAUAUUAACGAAUUGAAACAUAAUAAUAACAAUUGUCACCAAUGGAUAACGAAGAGCAGGACAAAAAAAGAAAACAUAUCAUAAUAACUAAAAUAAAAUGCCAGGCAUGUCUUAGUGAGCGCGAGUUGAAGAAGUGAAACUGUGGCACCUGAACAGAAUUAGUGUCAAGUAUAAUAUAUUUAAUAAAUAAUAGUAACCACUUCCCUCUUAAUAUGUUUCGGAAACAUCAGCGUCAAAUGUAGACAUGGUGAGAAACAAAGAAUCAUUAAUGGGCUUAAAAGCUUCCGUCGUAUGUACUUUUUACAAAAUUACAAAUUCAACACAAAUUAAUUUUUAAUUACAUAAGACAUCAAGUGGAAAUAAAAAUAAUCUAUGUCUAAUAAAUAUUACCAAUACUUGAUAUUUCAGUUUUUGGCAUAGUUGGGAGUAUAAGUAUAAUAGAAUUAUUCUCCGAGUCAAAACACAAACAAUUUUUGAGAUGGCUAAAAUAAUCACGCAACAUUUCAGGAUUUAGUGGUGACCUUGAAUUUAUUUUAUAUAAGGGGGGGCUAUACCAAAAUAUAUCAAUGAUUUUUUACAUAAAAUGUUGACUUAGCAAGGCCAAUAGGGAGUUUUUAACCAUUUUAAUCCUCCUUUGGUUACACCACUGUCAGGAUCUAAAUAGUUUAUAAUAAAUAAUGUUUUAAAAGCUAUUGUACACAUUUUAAUAUUUUAAUGGUUUAAAAUUACUAUUUUUUUGGAACAAUUAUGCAUGCACAUAUAUAAGUCGUGACACAGAGGAGCAAUUACUGCCGACAUCAUUAUUUUAGGGGUCAUAAAAUUUGGAAAUGAUCUGUAAUGUAAUGUAUUGGAAACAUAUUUCUCCCAAUAGGUAUAAAUAGUAAUCAAAAUAAAAACUUUAUUCGUGAAAAAUAAAAACAUACUAUAAAAGAAAUUAAAUUUUUUUUUUAAAUGAUUAAGUUUUUUAAUAUUUUUAUGUUUGUAUUAUAUAUUUUGGAGCGUGAUGGACAUACUAACUGUUGACAAAACUAAUAAUAAGUCACGCCUGCCGCUGUAGUGACAGAUGGAUGACAAUACUUAAGUUUUACGGUGGCAAAAAGUACAAUGUGUCCCAGUGCAAAGAGCAACGGAAAACCACUGCAUUUAUUCAUUCCCUAGUAAUACCAGUUCACCUUAAGAACUGGUAUCCAAUACCCGAAAACGGGUAGAAA